UAAACCUGGUUGAUCCUGCCAGUAGUCAUAUGCUUGUCUCAAAGAUUAAGCCAUGCAUGUCUAAGUAUAAGCAAGUCUUUACUGUGAAACUGCGAAUGGCUCAUUAAAUCAGUUAUAGUUUAUUUGAUAGUACCUUACUACUUGGAUAACCGUGGUAAUUCUAGAGCUAAUACAUGCAAAAAAACCCGCUUCUG
rnacentral:rRNA from 1 species